AGAGUUUGAUCCUGGCUCAGGAUGAACGCUGGCGGUAUGCUUAACACAUGCAAGUCGAACGGGCUCUUCGGAGCUAGUGGCGGACAGGUGAGUAACGCGUGAGAAUCUGGCUUCAGGUUCGGGACAACAGUUGGAAACGGCUGCUAAUACCGGAUGUGCCUUAUGGUGAAAGAUUUAUCACCUGAAGAUGAGCUCGCGUCUGAUUAGCUAGUAGGUGUGGUAAGAGCGCACCUAGGCGACGAUCAGUAGCUGGUCUGAGAGGAUGAUCAGCCACACUGGGACUGAGACACGGCCCAGACUCCUACGGGAGGCAGCAGUGGGGAAUUUUCCGCAAUGGGCGAAAGCCUGACGGAGCAAUACCGCGUGAGGGAGGAAGGCUCUUGGGUUGUAAACCUCUUUUCUCAGGGAAGAAUGAUGACGGUACCUGAGGAAUAAGCAUCGGCUAACUCCGUGCCAGCAGCCGCGGUAAUACGGAGGAUGCAAGCGUUAUCCGGAAUGAUUGGGCGUAAAGCGUCCGCAGGUGGCAAUGUAAGUCUGCUGUCAAAGCGUCUGGCUCAACCAGAUAAAGGCAGUGGAAACUACAUAGCUAGAGUAAGGUAGGGGUAGAGGGAAUUCCUGGUGUAGCGGUGAAAUGCGUAGAGAUCAGGAAGAACACCGGUGGCGAAAGCGCUCUGCUGGACCUUAACUGACACUGAGGGACGAAAGCUAGGGGAGCGAAUGGGAUUAGAUACCCUAGUAGUCC
rnacentral:rRNA from 1 species